GACGAACGCUGGCGGCGUGCUUAACACAUGCAAGUCGAACGAAGUGGCGAACGGGUGAGUAACGCGUAAUCAACCUGCCCUUCAGAGAGGGACAACAGUUGGAAACGACUGCUAAUAACGCAUACUGAAGGAGGGGAGUGGGUCGGAUUAGCUAGUUGGAGGGGUAACGGCCUACCAAGGCGAUGAUGAGUAGCCGGUCUGAGAGGGUUGACGGCCACAUUGGGACUGAGACACGGCCCAGACUCCUACGGGAGGCAACAGUGGGGAAUCUUCCGCAAUGGACGAAAGUCUGACGGAGCUACGCCGCGUGAGUGAUGACGGCCUUCGGGUGGUAAAGCUCUGUUAAUCGGGACGCGGUACCGGAAUAGAAAGCCACGGCUAACUACGUGCCAGCAGCCGCGGUAAUUC
rnacentral:rRNA from 1 species